GCUGGUGUGGCACAGUUGGCAGCGCGGCUCACUCGUAAUGAGCAGGUCGGAGGUUCAAGUCCUCUCACCAGCA
rnacentral:tRNA from 1 species